GAAUGGGGAGCUACUGAUUGGCUUAGAGUGCCAGCUGACCGCUCUAGCCAAUCAGCAACACCCCUACCCAACAGCACUCUGUGCCUCCUGACACUCAGUAAAUAAAAGUGAACACAUUAAUACUGAUAUUUUUUUACCUUUGGAGAUGAGAAGGUCCAGCGUUUCCCUGCCUGGCCCAGGUACCAAAGCCUUAUGAUGUGGUGUCCAGAAUAAAGUGGAGGGUUCACUUCAUUUGUCCUUCCUGCUCCAAUCUCCUUUUCCUCUCCUUCAU